UUGUUUGCUGUCGAUCUGGCAACCAGACCCGUCCAGACACAAUUCAAAAUCAGUGGGAUUUGGUUCGAUCUGGUGCCCCUGCAUCAUCAUCAUCAUCAUGAUUAUUAUUCCCGGCGCGCGGGUGAGGUCUCCGUCAGUAGGCGCGCGCUGCUUGUGCACACGCCAAAAAAAAAAAAACCCAGACGCGACAACUGCGCACUGGAGAGUCUGCACAUGGACCCUGCUCUUCCUUUCUUUCCUGGAUGGAUGACAGUGCAUGCUCCCUCUCUCUCUCUCUGUGGGAAUGUUGCAACCGGUCCCUGUGGAUGCUGUUUCUUAAUUCUCACUCCAAUAAGGAUGGAGGAACAGACAGACAGACAGAGGGGCGGAUGAUCAUAAGGAGCUGUAACUUCACACAAUUUCUUCACAUUUCCGUCUCCACUUCCUUUUGUUUCCGCACCGGAGCGCGCAUGACGGAGCGCGCACACGCGGAGAGAGAGACAGGAAGCCGAAUGUUCAGCGAGCUGUUGAAGAAACCGGAUGAACAAAGGUGAACGAAGGUGAACAACUGAAGGAGGAAACCUGAGCCCUUGAGGUUCUCUCUUUUCACAAGAUGACAAUAAACACUUUGACUUUACAGCCUGUAAAAAACCCUGAACAGUCGCUUCAGACGCAGAAGGAAUGAAGAAACAUUCCAGGAGGAACAUCUACUGCAGCUGUUAUUUAUUUACUUAAUUUUACAUAUUUAAUACAAUUUAAUGCGGUUUUUUUAAACAAAUUCAACUCACUACUAAUAAAAAUCACCAUGAAGGCAUUUUAACCCAAGAUAAUAUAAAAUUACAUAUUUUUUGAAUUUUUAAAAAAUUUGUGAAUUAACUCAUUAAAGAACACAUAUCUACACAUUUCGUUCUUUAGGAUUAGCGGAUUCUCUUUUCCCCAUUUAUAGAUUUUACACAUUAAAAGUGAUUCACUGUUGUAUACGGAUUAUUAUAACAUUUAAUAUUAAACAACACAGCGAUAAAAUCAGGCAUUUUAUAUUAAUAAUUCAGUUAUACAUAUUGAAUUUCUAGCAGAUGAACUUAUAGAUUUUCAUUUUUAUUUAUUUUAGUUAAUUCUAAUUUUUUUAAAAUCACAAAUUUUUUUCUUUAUUUCACCCUCAGUUUUUUAUUUUUCUUUCCCUUUCUUUCCCCCCCCCCUUACUCUUUCUCUCAGCGUGAUUUUAGUCAUGUUUCCCAACUGGGGUGUGUGUGUGUGGGGGGGGACACCUGAAUUUUUGCCCCCAGUUUUAAAUAUAAAUUUUGACUUUAAAUUUAAAGACUCCAGUACUGUGUAUACACACACACACACACACACUAUCUGUAUAAAGCUAUAAAAUUAAUUCUCUGAACUAAAACAGUAUAAAAUCAUUUUUCAGAAAAUGAACAGAAACUCCACUUUUUUUUACUUAUUAUCUGUUGUGUCUCAGAUCUGACUAAAAAGGAUUUAAAUACCUUUUAAGUGUAAUAUUUAAUUAUGCAGGACGGAUAAAACCCUUCCUCACACCCUUAUCCCCUACACCUCACACCUGUGUGUGUGGAGACGGGAUCUUUUCCCUCCCGGAGGAACGGGAUGUUGUAUUAAGAGCAUUCCCAGCAUUUAGGAUGUGAGCUCUGAAUUCUGUGAGCUGCACAAAUAUCCAGCAGAAUAAUAUUGAACACACUGUGUGUGUUAGAGAUGUACAGCAGCUGAUCAGUGUUCUGCCUCUUUACACACCCUGUGUGAAGCGGUACAGCUGCUGUAUGAGGAAGAAGGAGAAAAAAAAAAACCCUCAAAAACACAAGUUCUGAAACGUUGUGCAUUAAAUCAGUUAUAAACUCCAGCGUCACUGUAACACACUGUAGAUUUUCCCACGGCUCUGAGACGCGACCUCACACGGGAACAGAGCAGAAACUAAUCGCGUGCUUAAUUAAAUACAUUUGUAAAUUAAAUAAAUUUGCAUAUUAAAAACUGGCGGUUGACAUUUCCAUAAAGAAAGAAGGAAAAAAAAAAGGAAGAAAGGCCUUGAGCCAUUUGUUCAUUUGGUAACUAAAAUUAUUAACAUUAAAAUGAUCACCCCAUGCUUUCUUAUUAUUAUUAUCCUAAGAGUGUGCGUGCACGCAUGUUCGUAUCCUGUUUCUGUGCUGAAUAAAGUGACGCAGAGUGAAA